AUUUAAAUAGUUUAAUAAAAUAUUGAUUUGUGAUAUCAAAGAUACAGUAAUUGUUUUAAAUUAUU
rnacentral:tRNA from 1 species